GACGAACGCUGGCGGCGUGCUUAACACAUGCAAGUCGAACGGAAAGGCCCUGCUUUUGUGGGGUGCUCGAGUGGCGAACGGGUGAGUAACACGUGAGUAACCUGCCCUUGACUUUGGGAUAACUUCAGGAAACUGGGGCUAAUACCGGAUAGGAGCUCCUGCUGCAUGGUGGGGGUUGGAAAGUUUCGGCGGUUGGGGAUGGACUCGCGGCUUAUCAGCUUGUUGGUGGGGCAGUGGCUUACCAAGGCUUUGACGGGUAGCCGGCCUGAGAGGGUGACCGGCCACAUUGGGACUGAGAUACGGCCCAGACUCCUACGGGAGGCAGCAGUGGGGAAUAUUGCACAAUGGGCGGAAGCCUGAUGCAGCAACGCCGCGUGCGGGAUGACGGCCUUCGGGUUGUAAACCGCUUUCGCCUGUGACGAAGCGUGAGUGACGGUAAUGGGUAAAGAAGCACCGGCUAACUACGUGCCAGCAGCCGCGGUGAUACGUAGGGUGCGAGCGUUGUCCGGAUUUAUUGGGCGUAAAGGGCUCGUAGGUGGUUGAUCGCGUCGGAAGUGUAAUCUUGGGGCUUAACCCUGAGCGUGCUUUCGAUACGGGUUGACUUGAGGAAGGUAGGGGAGAAUGGAAUUCCUGGUGGAGCGGUGGAAUGCGCAGAUAUCAGGAGGAACACCAGUGGCGAAGGCGGUUCUCUGGGCCUUUCCUGACGCUGAGGAGCGAAAGCGUGGGGAGCGAACAGGCUUAGAUACCCUGGUAGUCCACGCUGUAAACGGUGGGUACUAGGUGUGGGGUCCAUUCCACGGGUUCCGUGCCGUAGCUAACGCUUUAAGUACCCCGCCUGGGGAGUACGGCCGCAAGGCUAAAACUCAAAGGAAUUGACGGGGCCCCGCACAAGCGGCGGAGCAUGCGGAUUAAUUCGAUGCAACGCGUAGAACCUUACCUGGGUUUGACAUGGAUCGGGAGUGCUCAGAGAUGGGUGUGCCUCUUUUGGGGUCGGUUCACAGGUGGUGCAUGGCUGUCGUCAGCUCGUGUCGUGAGAUGUUGGGUUAAGUCCCGCAACGAGCGCAACCCUUGUUCACUGUUGCCAGCACGUUAUGGUGGGGACUCAGUGGAGACCGCCGGGGUCAACUCGGAGGAAGGUGGGGAUGACGUCAAGUCAUCAUGCCCCUUAUGUCCAGGGCUUCACGCAUGCUACAAUGGCUGGUACAGAGAGUGGCGAGCCUGUGAGGGUGAGCGAAUCUCGGAAAGCCGGUCUCAGUUCGGAUUGGGGUCUGCAACUCGACCUCAUGAAGUCGGAGUCGCUAGUAAUCGCAGAUCAGCAACGCUGCGGUGAAUACGUUCCCGGGGCUUGUACACACCGCCCGUCAAGUCAUGAAAGUUGGUAACACCCGAAGCCGAUGGCCUAACCGUUGUGGGGGAGCCGUCGAAGGUGGGACUGGU
rnacentral:rRNA from 1 species